AUGGUUUGCUUCCCCAAGCGUCGCGAGCGGCUUUUAGGUUUUAUACUUGUUAUUUAGAGUCAGUUCAGUAGAUUCACCGCAUCUGACAAGUCUCGGAGUCAAUGGUCGGAAAGGUUUCAGGAGAAUAUAAUUUAUUACUCCUCGAAUUUUCCGAGAAGUAGAUUACUCGGGAAAUUCUUCGCAUCGUGUGGGGUCGCUGUUUUGUGAGGCUCUUUUCGUUGGCUGGGAGUAUAUUAUUGUGCGUUUCUAGAGACGGAGCUUCGUGAAGCCCUGCUUCGUGCACAGUGUGCCCUGGAUUAACCUUAGGUUUUGCAAUCCAGUGUCGAAUGUCGUCCUAGAUGUUGGAGAUUCUGGUUUCUACAACGUUAGCGAUGUAGCGUCUGUGUAAGUACUGGAUAGUGUGAUGAGCACAUCGAAACCUUCUGAACGAGUCGAGUUGGGAAACUCUUCAUGCUCGAUUCAAUUUUUUGUGAAGUUUAGCAGACCUCAAUUCUGGAGCUGUUGCAUCGUGCACGGAGACCAGGAGAAACGAAAUGGAUAACUGGAGUAAACCGAUUACGUUCUUUGAGGGUGGCACCUUAGGACUGCGCAUGUGAGCGCGAGUGUAAGUGAUGAAUUUAUGAAGUCGACCGUAUACUUCAGGGCUCCAGCAGGAUGGCAGGAGCUCUAGAAGCCUUCUUUACUUGAUGGCGGAAAAAGUGGCUAAUCUCUAAUGCUUCUGGGGAACCCUAGAGUUAAAUAGUGUUUUCGCAAGAGAAAGGCAAGGAAGCAAUGUCAUCCAGAACUCUAGCGGUAUAAUUGAAAGUUCAGAGGAGCUUGGGGAAUCGUGUAGGAGGCAUGAAAAUGGAAUUGGGAAGCUGAUCGUAUCAUGUGGAAGACUUAAAGAAUUAGUGUUCAAAUUAUUCCCCUAGAGAUUGAAAAAGCUGCAUAGGGACGAACAGCAGGAUUGGUGGUUCUGGUGAUUUGGAGAUUCGAGAAAGAGAGAACUACGAAACGGUGCUCGAAGAUUUGCAGGUUGUCAGAAUGAGCUAGUUCCUACUGUGAUCGUUGUCAAACCUGCCAACCUGGAGGAUAUUUCAGGGCAAGUUUCUGAGGGGCUGUAUAUGAGGUCAUCAUCUGGAGAGGAAGAACACUCAUCAAAUGGUGCCAAGCUUUGUCUUAAAGCAACUGAGGGAUUUAGCUGCUGAAGAAGGUGAUUUGGAAGCCAGGUUCCUGAGAAUUGAGCAUAUUGUCGAGGGUCAGGUUGAAUUUGAACAGCUAAUCAAUGAAAUGUGGUUCAGUAUGCGUGCUGAGAACGAAGCACAGGGGAUGGAAUGAAAAGAGAGUGGUUUUGAAAUGGAAAGAUAUGAGGAACAGAUUGAAGAUGAAGUUGGGAUAUUGCAGGGGAAGAUUCGGCGGCUAGAGGACGAGUUGCGUCUUAGUCUUUCUAGAAAGGACUUCGUCCUGCAGAAGAAGCAGAAUGAGAUCGACGACAUCAUGCAGAGCAUGCUAGGUAAUAAGCGCGUUAGUGAUGAAUCAAGACUGGAAGUUGCAGCUGACAGAGAUAGUACUGUAUCCAAUGAUUCGAUAGUGGUAGCUGCUACUUCAAAUCAACAGACCGCAGCUAGCCCGCAGAAGGCUGGCUUUCUUGCGUUUGAGGAGAUGGUUAAGGAAGGUGAUGAACAGGCGAAGAAAGAACGGCAUGUUACUCAUUCCACCUCGCAGGCACCCACCUCAGAGAAUGCUUUACAGCAAGAUCCGCAGGGGUCGCACGAGAAGGAACGUCAGUUGGAGAGUAGAUUUCUCGCCAUGGAGAGGGAGGUGAGUAGGGUCUCUAGUAUGCUAAGAGAGGCGGAGUUGGCCUUGUCCGUCGAGCAAGAGAGACGAAGAGAAGCACGUUUGGAAGUGGAUCAAGUGCUAGAAAAUUUGAAGGAAGAAAAGAGGAUUCGAGGUGAAUAUGAAGAGAAGCUGAAAAGGUUAACGUCUUUUCUGAAGAGUAUGAAGGAGAAGUUAACGCCUGAUGUUGAGGAUGCUGAGGAAGACGUCGCGAGCAAGCUAGCAUCUGUCUCGAAGGACCUGGACAAGGAGCUGCAAAGGAUGAGUUCCAAGAAGCUUAGUAAAAGAAGGUCUGAACUAAUCGAACAGUCCACUCGAUGGAAGUUGCAACGGGAUGCAGCAGUGAAAGAUAGGGAUAAUCUGGAAGAGAAGCUUAAUUUGCAGUUGAAAAGCGAAAGGGAUAGAGAAGCAGAGAUGGAGGCGAUGUGGGUGGAGAGAGAGAAGAAUUUGAUCAUAAAAUGCAGUCACUUGGAGGCUGCCGUCGGUCACUGGGAGUCGAAAUACAAGAAACGGGACACCGAAGCGUUGCAAGAAAGGAAACUUUCUGACAUUGAGCUGGAAGCAUAUCGUACACAAUGGUCUGAUGAGAAAGCUGGUUGGGAAGCGUUCGUUUUGAAACGGGAGCAAUGGCUUGAGGAGCAAGUUAUGAAGUGGACAUCUUUGCUUGAUGCCAAGGAUCGAGGAUUGAGUUCUCUCAAGCAGGAGCUCGAAGAGUUGGAGAUAUCGUUUAAAAAUGUUAAGCAUGCAUUAGAGAAUCCUCACCAGGUUCACGAUCAGCCGAAACAGAUGCUAGAAACUUGUUCACAAACGGAUGCAUCAUGUGAGAGUUUCAAAGCAGACAGGAGUUCGGAAGAUAGUGAUGGAGAAAGCUGCCAGAGCGUUGAGAAAAUUGUCCAUGAGGUUGACACAAUUGAGGAUGAACAAGUUGCAGAACUAGAUCCUGGAAUAUGUUGCAUAGAGAAACUUAGACGAGAGAAAGAGGAACUUGAGGAAAAAGUUUCCAAUACCCCAACGCUGAUGGAAGAGAUGCAGACUGAGUUUCAGAAUAAAUUGAAGCAGUUUGACAUUGAGAAAAAGAAUCUGGAGGUAAAAUUAUCAUCUAAGACAGCUGAGGCAGAGGACCUGGUAGCACAUCUCAAUGCUAGAGAACGUCAAAUUGAGGCUCUCAUGCAGAAGUUUAGAAACGAAGUGUUGAGCAUUGAUAGAGAAGUUGAGAAAGAAAGGAAAGAAAGAGAAGAAGUGAUGGAAAUGCAUUUUGCUGGAAAGCGCCGUCUUGUUGCAGAAAUCCGUGAGAAAGAAGAAAGUUGGCAAAACGAUCUGGAUGCAAUCACGCAAGAGUUGCUUGAAUCAAGAGAGUGGGCCAGGCAGAAAGAAGAGGAUAUUAUUAAUUUAAAGGAAGAUUUAGAAGCACUUGAUGAGCAGAAGAAAGAUGAGGAGGAGAGAUUAUCUAGAAGGAUCCAUUCUUUGUUGAAAGAAAAGGAUGCUCUGACGGCUGCACUCGAGCAAGAACAAAGGACUCGGGAAGCAGCUGAGGCUGAAUAUCAGAGGCUCGAGGAGGAGCAUAUCAUACUUCUUGAGGAGUUGAGUGCCGAACGACAAAGGAAGCUGGAGGGCACUGAUUCCUGGGGUAACUCUAACCUGCAGGCAGCUGUUUGUCGUGUAGCCAAUGUUGAUAAACAAAUUGAGGAAGCUAUGGAUGCAAUUGUAAGCUUAAGAGAAGAGCUGGAUAAUAAAGAAACACAACUUAUUCAGGCUAAGAUGGAUAAAGAGGCUGAGUGGGAGAGACGUCAAGCAGCUUUGGUUCAAGAAUAUAAGGAAAUGCUAAGCAUGCGAGAACAAAAAUGGCAGCAGGGGUGGAUGCGUAAGGAGCAAGAACUCCUAGCUGCAAACGACAAAAUACUGCAUCAACUAGCCGACGAACGUGGGGAAACAGCAUUAGUGCGAGGAGCCCUAAGAGAGCUGGAAUGGUCUAUCAAGCAUGGUGACAUCGAUGUUAAAGCCAAGUUAGCGAAUAUAUCUAAGAAGGAAGGAAUGGUGAAGGUACAUGCAUCGCACUUGGAGGAGGUGGAUCAGUAUAUACUGGAUCUUCAAAAAAAAUUGGAAGAGUCGGAGAAGAAACGAAAAAGUGCUGAGAUUGCUGCAUCAGUACGAGAAUUGAAAAGAGGAGCUAGCCUUGAUGCUGUUCUCAUUCAAGGGGACAGGGACAGGUCGUUACCAAACAUGGUCAGGCAUGACGGACUUCUCACAUCACAUCUUUCUUUGGAGGGUGGAACGGAAAGCUUGCGAAUACGCACAAAAUCUUCUCUUGGAGAUAGAAAUGGGCGUAGUUUUUCCAGUAUCAGGGAGAUCCAGCCAGCCGCAUACUGGGAUGUCGAAAAUCUCAGCGGUGCUGGGCGUCACGGUGGCAGUGUCGGCUCUAGCACUAGUCACGGUCAGCCUCGCGAUGAUUACUCUCUUUCAGUCUUGCCUCCUGUUUCACCUGGACGACGGCAGCAAAAGUGGCUUGUUGAUGCUGCUUGGUUGGAAAAUGUCCGCAAGGAGCAAACAUUUUUACGGCAACAGCUUGAAAUUGAGCGACAGCGGCUCUGUUCAUUUGGUCAGGUCGAUGCGGAGAAUAGGUUGAUAGAAGCAGCGGUUGUACGGGCUAUGGAGGAGAAGCACGAGAGCGAGUCCAAAGUCCUGGAUUUGCAACAGGAGGUGCGCUGGUCCCAACCAAAUCCUCUCUUCUUUUGCACUCCCGGUUUGCAUGCUAUAACAAGCUGCUCAUCACCCAGAGGCCCUUCGACAAAGGAUCUGUCAAGCCAUAAUUCAGUAUUCCCGAAACUUUCAGGAGAAUUGUGAAGGUCAUUACAGUGAUUUAAAACGUCAAUGUGCUGUUCCCGUUCAGGGGAAGCUAUCCCACCGGCUGUUAUCUGUGCUUUUUGGUAUUAAUGCUGCGGAAGAUGCUGGCUGCCAGGUCCGAGACAGCCUGUUGAUUACAUUCUUAGUUUGAAAUGUACCAUGUGUCAGCUUGCUGCAAAUUUUGUAGAGCACAUUCACAGAUGGGGAACGAGCUACGUUUUUCUAGCACUUCUAAGAGUUCAUGAUUCACUCAUGAUUGUGAUAAAAAUCACACUUGAAGUGGACUUCCAAAUUUACUACUAUGUGUGAUCUCGUAUCAUGCAUGCACACUGGUUCUCAGCGAUUUGCGAAGUACCUACGGCUGCUGAUCUUUUCCAGAUGAUAACUCUGGAAACCUGAAGAGUUUAUUUUGGCCAUCUUUGAGUGGCUACUGUACUUACCCACCAAAGCAGGAAAGUUUUGGGUAGGGUUGAUACUGUUUCCUUGUGUAUCAUGUAUCCACUAUUACAUAAUCACUUUCCUCACAAAGAGGAAAUCUCUAAAGCAGACGUUCAUUUCUA